GUGCCAGCCGCCGGGUAAUACCGGCAGCCCGAGUGAUGGCCGAUCUUAUUGGGCCUAAAGCGUCCGUAGCUGGCUGCUCCAGUCCGUCGGGAAAUCCACCUGCCCAACAGGUGGGCGUCCGGCGGAAACUGUGUGGCUUGGAACCGGAAGGCUCAGAGGGUACGUCCGGGGUAGGAGUGAAAGCCCGUAAUCCCGGACGGACCACCGAUGGCGAAAGCACUCUGAGAAGACGGCUUCGACAGUGAGGGACGAAAGCUAGGGUCGCAAACCGGAUUAGAAACCCUAGUAGUCC
rnacentral:rRNA from 1 species